CGUUAGCGGCGGACGGGUGAGUAACACUGGGUAACCUACCUAUAAGACUGGGACAACUUCGGGAAACCGGAGCUAAUACCGGAUAAGAUAUCGAACCGCAUGGUUCGAUAGUGAAAGANGGUUUUGCUAUCACUUAUAGAUGGACCCGCGCCGUAUUAGCUAGUUGGUGAGGUAACGGCUCACCAAGGCAACGAUACGUAGCCGACCUGAGAGGGUGAUCGGCCACACUGGAACUGAGACACGGUCCAGACUCCUACGGGAGGCAGCAGAA
rnacentral:rRNA from 1 species